rnacentral:tRNA from 1 species
GGGGAUGUAGCCCAAAUGGUAGAAUGCUCGCUUUGUAUGCGAGAGGUACAGGGUUCGAUACUCCUCUUCCCCA